rnacentral:lncRNA from 1 species
UGCUAGAAAACUAAGUGAGUCAGACCAGGAACUACAAUUGUUCAAAUACCACAAAGGCCCUCUUCUCAGUGGCAAAAUCUCAAUCAACCUCAUAUGGUAUGGAAAAUUCAAGCCAUCACAACGAGCCAUAAUCUCAGACUUCAUAACCUCCCUUUCUUCCUCUCCAUCCAAACCCACAUCACAACCUUCUGUUGCUAAGUGGUGGAAAACCACCGAGAAAUACUACCACCUCACCACCACCAGAAACAACAAGUCACCAAACCUAGCUCUUUCCCUCGGUACCCAAAUCCUUGAUGAGAACUACUCUCUUGGAAAAUCACUCAAUGAUAACCAAAUCUUGAAGCUUGCAUCAAAGGGUGCCCAAAAGAACGCCAUCAACGUUGUUCUCACAGCCGCUGACGUAACCGUUGAUGGGUUCUGCUCCAGCAAGUGUGGGUCCCACGGUUCCUCGGCGGGUGCUCGUAUCAAUGGAAAGAGGUACAAGUUUGCAUAUAUAUGGGUUGGUAACUCUGAAACACAGUGCCCUGGUCAAUGCGCGUGGCCUUUUCUUAUAUCACUGGAUUAUUCUCCAAUAGUAUUUGUGAUGGAAAAUUGCUAAACCAAGAAGCAGGUCCAGCAAAUAUUUCGUGAGGAAGAAAAAGUGUUUUAUAUGCGUGCCCUUCAACAAACGGAAAUCAAGUUUGUCUUGUCCCUAAAAUCCAAAUAAAUGCCGUUAAUAAUUAUACUCACCUUAGUUGGCCAUGCCUAUCCUCGCGUAUCUUAUGACUCACCUGUCAUGACAGCAUGACUUAUAGGAAAAUAAUAAAUAAUUCGAUCGAACCAUGAAAGCACGCCUCAUAAACCCAUUGAAUUUGGUUCAUAGAUUCGAAAAGCAACACGUUAACAAGCAAGCUGGCACCUCCACUACUACCUCACUCCACACACCAUCCCCCGAAUUAUACUUUAAUUGACUUCAAAACUAGAGACUAUCACAUGUAUGAGAGUCCUACUUAUUGAAAUUUGAGGAAAAUAAAUAAACAUAAUUUUAUAUCUAUUCAAUAAGUAGAAAGAUAAUUUCAUUGAUUUGUUAACCACCAUUGACUCCCAAACAAGAGUAAUAUAAAUCAAUAGUGAAUGAUAUAAUGACAAUUGACAAUGUAAAGUGUACAAAUUUUAAACUUAAACAACAAUCUUAUGAGCUAUACAUGGCAAAACUAGUGGAUGAAGAAGUUUUCUAUUACUUCCCUUGGCCUUCCUUCGUAUGUAUGCCAAUCUUCUUCUACUAUAUAUACCUGCUACCACAUCCUUCUUCUCAACACCUCACCUUACAACUGCUUACUUAUUACACUGUUUCCUUCUAUCUCUCUGUACAAAAUACAAAUGGCCCCUCUUGCAUAUUCAAGCAUUCUCUUAACCCUAUUUCUCACACUCUCUCUUUUUCAUUCUAGCUUAGCUGCUAGAAAACUAAGUGAGUCAGACCAGGAACUACAAUUGUUCAAAUACCACAAAGGCCCUCUUCUCAGUGGCAAAAUCUCAAUCAACCUCAUAUGGUAUGGAAAAUUCAAGCCAUCACAACGAGCCAUAAUCUCAGACUUCAUAACCUCCCUUUCUUCCUCUCCAUCCAAACCCACAUCACAACCUUCUGUUGCUAAGUGGUGGAAAACCACCGAGAAAUACUACCACCUCACCACCACCAGAAACAACAAGUCACCAAACCUAGCUCUUUCCCUCGGUACCCAAAUCCUUGAUGAGAACUACUCU